CAAAGGCAUGGUCCUGACCUUACUGUCAACUUUAGCCCAACUUACACAUGCAAGUCUCCGCAGCCCCGUGAGUACGCCCUCAAUCCCCUGCUUGGGGACAAGGAGCGGGCAUCAGGCACAAAUUUUAGCCCAAGACGCCUAGCCUGGCCACACCCCCAAGGGAAUUCAGCAGUGAUAAACAUUAAGCCAUUAGUGAAAACUUGACUCAGUCAGGGUUAAUGAGGGCCGGUAAAACUCGUGCCAGCCACCGCGGUUAAACGAGAGGCCCCAGUUGACAGUACCACGGCGUAAAGGGUGGUUAAGGAUAGCAAUUAAAUAAAGCCAAAUGGCCCCUUGGCCGUCAUACGCUUCUAGGUGUCCGAAGCCCAAUUAAACGAAAGUAGCUUUAAUAACACCCGCCUGAUCCCACGAAAGCUGAGAAACAAACUGGGAUUAGAUACCCCACUAUGCUCAGCCAUAAACCCAGAUGUCUAACUACAAUUUAACAUCCGCCAGGGUACUACGAGCAUUAGCUUAAAACCCAAAGGACCUGACGGUGCCUUAGACCCCCCUAGAGGAGCCUGUUCUAGAACCGAUAACCCCCGUUAAACCUCACCACUUCUAGCCAUCCCAGCCUAUAUACCGCCGUCGCCAGCUUACCCUGUGAAGGCAAUAAAAGUAAGCAAAAUGGGCACAACCCAAAACGUCAGGUCGAGGUGUAGCGUACGAAGUGGGAAGAAAUGGGCUACAUUUUCUAUCAUAGAACACUAAGGAUAUGCAACAUGAAAUAGUGCUUGAAGGAGGAUUUAGUAGUAAAAAGGAAGCAGAGCGUCCUUUUGAACCCGGCUCUAAGGCGCGUACACACCGCCCGUCACUCUCCCCUGUCAACAUGCAAUAAAAAUUUAUAAUACAAAAGCACCGACAAGGGGAGGCAAGUCGUAACAUGGUAAGUGUACCGGAAGGUGCACUUGGAUAAAACC
rnacentral:ncRNA from 1 species